rnacentral:rRNA from 1 species
GCUGGCGGCGUGCCUAAUACAUGCAAGUCGAGCGAACAGAGAAGGAGCUUGCUCCUUUGACGUUAGCGGCGGACGGGUGAGUAACACGUGGGCAACCUACCUUAUAGUUUGGGAUAACUCCGGGAAACCGGGGCUAAUACCGAAUAAUCUAUUUUACUUCAUGGUGAAAUACUGAAAGACGGUUUCGGCUGUCGCUAUAAGAUGGGCCCGCGGCGCAUUAGCUAGUUGGUGAGGUAACGGCUCACCAAGGCGACGAUGCGUAGCCGACCUGAGAGGGUGAUCGGCCACACUGGGACUGAAACACGGCCCAGACUCCUACGGGAGGCAGCAGUAGGGAAUCUUCCACAAUGGGCGAAAGCCUGAUGGAGCAACGCCGCGUGAGUGAAGAAGGUUUUCGGAUCGUAAAACUCUGUUGUAAGGGAAAACAAGUACAGUAGUAACUGGCUGUACCUUGACGGUACCUUAUUAAAAAGCCACGGCUAACUACGUGCCAGCCGCCGCGGUAAUAC